CCUCACCUGACCUCAGCCAGGGGGAAAGAGUCACACUCACAGGCUGCAGCUGACUGAACUACAGACAGAAGACUCCCAGAAGUGCACAGGUGCAGUACACCAUAAACAAAAUGCUAGAAGAUGCUACAGCAAAUGCUGAUAGAGCUUCUGAUAGAUCUUUAAAGAGUCCUAAUUUUUGCCAGUUAGUAUAAUAAUAGGACCUCAAUCUACAGGAAAAGUUAGUGGCAGAUUAAAUAAUAUUUCUUUAAUCACAAAUUCUGAUUGCCAGGAGCAUCAUUUCUAAGAAUUUUUGUGAGUUAUUCUGAAGCCUUACACAGCCUGUACAGACCAGAGUAAUGAGUUAGAAAUCCUGGGAGUUUUGCCUGAGCAAAGACUGCAAGAUCAGGCUCUAUAUUACAAAUUCAAAUAAA